rnacentral:rRNA from 1 species
GAUGAACGCUGGCGGCGUGCCUAAUACAUGCAAGUCGAGCGAACAGAUGAGGAGCUUGCUCCUCUGGCGUUAGCGGCGGACGGGUGAGUAACACGUGGAUGACCUACCUAUAAGACUGGGAUAACUUCGGGAAACCGGAGCUAAUACCGGAUAAUAUAUUGAACCGCAUGGUUCAAUAGUGAAAGACGGUUUUGCUGUCACUUAUAGAUGGAUCCGCGCCGCAUUAGCUAGUUGGUAAGGUAACGGCUUACCAAGGCAACGAUGCGUAGCCGACCCGAGAGGGUGAUCGGCCACACUGGAACUGAGACACGGUCCAGACUCCUACGGGAGGCAGCAGUAGGGAAUCUUCCGCAAUGGGCGAAAGCCUGACGGAGCAACGCCGCGUGAGUGAUGAAGGUCUUCGGAUCGUAAAACUCUGUUAUUAGGGAAGAACAAAUGUGUAAGUAACUAUGCACGUCUUGACGGUACCUAAUCAGAAAGCCACGGCUAACUACGUG